ACGUAGGUGGCAAGCGUUAUCCGGAAUUACUGGGCGUAAAGGGCGUGUAGGCGGGAAGACAAGUCGGGAGUGAAAUCCCAGGGCUUAACCCUGGAGCUGCUUCCGAAACUGUCUUUCUUGAGUGUCGGAGAGGAAAGUGGAAUUCCCAGUGUAGCGGUGAAAUGCGUAGAGAUUGGGAGGAACACCAGUGGCGAAGGCGACUUUCUGGACGAUAACUGACGCUGAGGCGCGAAAGCGUGGGGAGCAAACAG
rnacentral:rRNA from 1 species